AACCUCCGCAAUGUGAGAAAUCGCGACGGGGGGAUCCCAAGUGCCAUUCUUAACGGGAUGGCUUUUCAUUAGUGUAAAGAGCUUUUGGAAUAAGGGCUGGGCAAGACCGGUGCCAGCCGCCGCGGUAACACCGGCAGCUCUAGUGGUAGCAGUUUUUAUUGGGCCUAAAGCGUCCGUAGCCGGUUUAAUAAGUCUCUGGUGAAAUCCUGUAGCUUAACUGUGGGAAUUGCUGGAGAUACUAUUAGACUUGAGACCGGGAGAGGUUAGAGGUACUCCCAGGGUAGAGGUGAAAUUCUGUAAUCCUGGGAGGACCGCCUGUUGCGAAGGCGUCUAACUGGAACGGUUCUGACGGUGAGGGACGAAAGUUAGGGGCGCGAACCGGAUUAGAUACCCGGGUAGUCCUAACUGUAAACGAUGCGGACUUGGUGUUGGGGUGGCUUUGAGCUGUCUCAGUGCCGAAGGGAAGCUGUUAAAUCCGCCGCCUGGGAAGUACGGUCGCAAGACUGAAACUUAAAGGAAAU
rnacentral:rRNA from 1 species